UUUCUCUUUGGCAGCAUAUAAGCCAGAAGUGGGAUGUACAGAGAAGAUUAACAUGGCCCCUAAGCAAGGAUGAUGGGUAAAUUUCUAAAGCAUUCCAUAUUUGU